rnacentral:rRNA from 1 species
AGCAGUCGCCGCGGGAACACGUAGGUGGCAAGCGUUGUCCGGAAUUAUUGGGCGUAAAGGGCUCGCAGGCGGUUUCUUAAGUCUGAUGUGAAAGCCCCCGGCUCAACCGGGGAGGGUCAUUGGAAACUGGGAAACUUGAGUGCAGAAGAGGAGAGUGGAAUUCCACGUGUAGCGGUGAAAUGCGUAGAGAUGUGGAGGAACACCAGUGGCGAAGGCGACUCUCUAGUCUGUAACUGACGCUGAGGAGCGAAAGCGUGGGGAGCGAACAGGAUUAGAUACCCGUGUAGUCCCUGUCUCUUAUAC